CGGAGGAAACAAGAUAGUUUUUCAGAGAGAAAAAAAAAAAAGAAAAAGAAAUCCUGAAUCCUGCAGAACUUUUGCCUGGAGGGAGGGGUUUAAGAGGAGAGGUGUCAGGAGAAACUGAAGCAAACAGAAAAAAAUAACCUUGGGUAAUGAUAAUUUGAAGAGUAGGAGGAAAGUUUGUGCAUUUAAUUAUGAUAACACCAGUUUGUCAGGAAAGCUAAACUCAACCAGAAAAUCCUUAAUCAUUAACGCUGUCAUCCCAAAAAAGCACCUUCUCGUAACUGCCUGUUUGACAGAUUCUGGAGGACAAAGAGAGCCUGCAGACAGGAAACUGUCAAUCCUUCUGCACAGAACAUCAGAGAACCCCUCUGAAGAAGGGAGAAGAAUAACAUUUAUUUAAUGGAUGCUGAGCAAAAGGUAUUCACAAUUCAUGCUUCAGGGCUUAAGCCUAUCCGAGAUCAGAAGGGAACUUUUCCAGUCUCCAAAUUGUACAACUGGGCCACUGCUAAUGGUGCUAAAUCCGUCUGUCAAGGCCCAGCUUUGCAGCUUGAAGUCAUCUUGCCUGCACCUCACAAAUGCUGAUCUGUUGGUUGCUUUCAUCCUGCGAAUACCAUUUCAAAUUUCUUAUGUUUCAGAGCCAAUGUUCUCUCAAAAGGGCAAUGUUUGACCACAAGUGGACUUUUGCAAAGCCACACCACACAAUUAGAUUACUGUCCCUACACUGAUGUUGAAAAGACAAGAUAUCAUACACACACAGCUGUACCUUUACAGGAAAGUUGUCAUAUGUAUGUGUGUGUCUGUUGUGAGACUUCCUCACGCUAACAUCCUCCCAUAAAUUAGGGUAUCGAUCCAGUUCAUGUUAGCACUGUGGAUUUAAGAUAAAUUUAGAAGCCUAUCUCAUUCAGGGUGAUUUGGCAUUUGGGGAUAAGCACUAUCAAUCUCUAAUUGUUUCGUUCAAUUUAUCCAGAAGAUAGUUGUGCUUGUGAUGUUCCAACUUCUAGCCUCAAAUCUCCAAAGAAAAUAAGUCCCUAAGCAUGAAUAAACAGAGAAAUAGGUACACUGGGGAGUGUAUUUGGCACAAGGCUUGGAAAAUCUGUAUUCUAGAAGAGGCAAAAUGAACUUGUACUUUUCCUUAAACUUUCAGGACGGAACAGCAUAAUCACCAUUGACCCAUUGGGACUCAUGAGACACUGCAACAGGCCCUAAGAGGCAUGAGGGGAAUUUGGGGCUCAUAAUUAGGUCAUUGGACCUCAGGACUAUGGCAUUUUCACAAAAGAGAAGAGAAUGUUCCUAACCACAGGCAUGAAUGCCCAGGAAAGCUGCCACCUGGCCCUAGCCCUCACAGAGCAUGGCCCUGCCUGGGGCCUGGGUCAGUCAGAAUUAUUGAAAGGACACCUCUGCAUUACCCAAGGACACAAAAAGAGAUUCCCUUCCUUCUGAGGAGACUUGAUAGAAGGCGCAGUUACCCUGAAGAGCAAAGUCAACUUUUAAGCAUCAAAAGGGCUGGAAUUAGAGUACAAAUUGAGCACUGCUGGCUGAAAAACUGCCACACUCAAAGACAAAGUGGCAACUGUCAGUGGACCAGAUAGCCAUCUGUGGCCCCUGUGAACUGAGGCUGAGAUAUUUUGGCAACAACUCAGCCAGGGAGCAGAAAGGCAGUACCAACUCAGAUUUGAGGUUCAACAACAUGGGGCCAGUCAAGAGUAGAGGCUCUGCCACCUUCAGACUCUCUGGCCUUGUCUACAGCCUUAACUGAGUUGCUUGUGAGUCUGGAGACAAAAAAAAAAAAAGAAAGAAAGACAAGAAGAAAAUGUGUCUCAUUCCUCUAGUACAGAGCAUCACACAUGCAGCCACCAUGGGAUUGGACAGGACCCAGAGUCCUCUCUACAUAUCACAUGAGUCCUGAUUUACCCCAUAGCAGGGGUCUGGGGAAACCAAGAAUUACAGACAAUUUUAAACACAAAGGAUUAGCAAAUUAUUUGUGUGAAAUGUCAGAGUGCUAAGGAAUGAAUACCUGCACCUGAACCAAGAAGAGAUCAUUACCAACAUAAUACUAUACUUCAAAAGUAGUAUAUCCUAAAUAAAUAAUUUUGGGCCCCUAUUUUUUAUUUUCCCUGUCCUUACUCUGGCUCCCAACCUUGUGUUUUGAUGGCUUUUCUCUUACAUAAUAUUACUCAAUUUCACCCAUACGUUUUCAUCUCUAGUCACUAUAAGCCACAAUUAUUUUGCCUUCUCUAAUGCAGCAGCUUCUGAAUUUGUCUCCCCCAAUUCCAUUUUUGCUUCUGUCCAAUCCAUAGGCCAGUAUAGCCUCUGGAAAACAGUACAGCCAGUGUCUGGCUGGGCAUGGUGGCUCACACCUAUAAACCUAGCACUUUGGGAGGCCGAGGCAUGUGGAUCACUUGGGGUCAGGAGUUCGAGACCAGCCUAGCCAAGUGGUGAAACCCUAUCUCUACUAAAAAAUACAAAAAUUGGCUGGGCGUCAUGGCAUGAUGCCUGUAAUCCCAAGUACUCAGGAGGCUGAGGCAGGAAAAUCACUUGAACCCGGGAGGCGGAGGUUGCAGUGAGCCGAGAUUGCGCCACUGUACUCCAGCCUGCGAGACAGAGGGAGACUCCAUCUCUAAAUAAAUUAGUUAAUAAUUAAUAAAUAAAUAACAAAAACAAUAAAAACAAAACACGCCGUGUUCAUAUGAAUCUCCUACUUCAAUAACAGUUCUCAAAAUGUACACUAAGGUGCCCUGAGACUCCAUUUAGACUCAUAGGAGUUCUCUGGAAUAUUUUUAAUUUUUGAGGAAAACAAUAAUACUCCACAUCAGUCAGACACUGCACAGUUUCAACAUUAGAUUGCACUACAUUUCUUUCAAUAUUUUUUUUUUUGUGUGAAGCUUGGGCUUUCAGUGACUGCUGUGAUAAGAAAGGCAAUUCCACAAAAUAAUCACUGUGGAACAAAACAUAAAGGUGGAGGUAUCCAAUCUGAUUCCAAGGUUUGAGAAACUGCGCAGUGCCUAACACUCAAACAUGUAUAAUUAGUAAGAAAUUGUAGUUAUUUAAGAAUGAAAUAAAAAAUACUGGUUUCUGUCCAUUUACGUAUAAUAUUUUUUCAAAGAACAUUUAAAUUGUUAGAUCAUAAAUAUUUAGCUAACUUUUUAAUUAAUGGAAAUUUUAGCUAUUUCUGUUGGCCUAGGGGUGCUAUGAACCAAGAAAGCUUAGGAAUGUUUGCCUUGGAUAGUUUCUAAUUGUUCACAGGAUAAAAUAAAAAAAUCUUGAUCAUGACUUGAAAAUCCCUGUAUGGUAGCCAUCUCCAGCUUCGUCUUAUUCUCCUCAUAAUGUGAUCUCCAGCACUCCUAGGACCUCUUUUAUUUACCCAAACUUACCUUGUUUAUUCUUUACUCAAGGCCUUUACACACAUUGUUAUCUUUGUUCACAAAAAUCUUCUCUUCCUGUCCUGUUCCCCCAUGCCCCACCCACAAACCCCCACUUCCCUACUAAACACCUUCUCAGCCCUAAGAUCAUUCGGUCUGCAACCUAUUUUCCCAUGGAAAGCAAGUUUAUUGUAUGUUCUUCUUUCAUGCUGUACCCUUUCCUUCAAGUCAAAUUUGCACAAGAGGCAGUGUGGUAAAAUGGUUAAUAGCACAAAGCCUGGAGCCAAACUGCCAAGUUCAAAUCCCAGUUCUGCUACUGGCCAAGUUACUUAACCACUCUGUAUCUCUUUCAUAAAAUGGGGUUACUACCUCACAGGGUUGUUAAAUGAGUUAACAUAUAUAUAUGAGAUUAAAUGAGUGAACAUAUAUAUACUGUAUUUAGAAUAGUACAUAUUGUAAAGGCUUUUUCCCACAUCUUUUCUAGUGGAUGAUAAACUCCAUGAAGACAGAAACCACUUCUCUUUUUACUAACCAUUGUAUCACUAACAUCCCACAGUAUCCGGCACAGGAGACAUGCGAUAAAUAUUCAUAAAAACAGAAAAGAAACAUAAUCUUAACUCUUGGUCUUGGCUUCUGACUCGACCUCACAAUACCUACCCAUGAUGCACCUGAUGCAAAAUAAUAGCAUUCUAGGAGAUGGGAAGAAAGAGUACCCAACCUAUUUUUCAGCUUACUUUUCCUGAUGUUACCCACUCCAGUCCAUUUCCACAGUGGAUAAAAUGGUACAAGAGUAACUACUAAGACUCACUUUUUAUCCUCAGUUAUUAUUUUCUUCUAUAUGUAAUAUUUUAUCUAAAUUGAGUAAGGGCCGAGUGCAGUGGCUCAUGCCUAUAAUCCCAGCACUUUGGGAGGCCGAGGCGAGCUAAUCACUUGAGCCCAGGGGUUCCAGACCAGCCUGGGCAACAUGGCAAAAACCCGUCUCUAAUAAAAAAUACAAAAAAUUAUCUGGAUAUAGUGGUGCACGCCUGUAGACCCAGUUACUGUGAAGGCUGAGGUGGGAUGAUCAUUUGAGCCCAAGAGUCUGAGGUUGCAGUGAGCUGAGAUCAUGCUGCUGCACUCCAGCCUGGGCCACAGAGUGAAAGCUUGACUCAAAAAAAAAAAAAAAUUGAGUAUGCAGUAAACAAAACACUGGACUUCAAGACAGGACACCAAGAUUAUAGCACCUGUAGUGUGGGUCUCCCAGUCAAAGCAUCACAGUCUAUAUUACAAUGUCUGGUCUCUGCUCUGGCACAUGUAACCACAGCUGAUGUGGAGGAACACAAAAGAACACAACACUGGAAGAGGACCUAGAGGCAGGGAAGAAACUAGGGAACUAUCUUCAGUCCUGGACAGAAAGUAUUGAAAGACUUGAAAACCCAGCCACCCUGGGGGAAGCCUAAUAUAAAAACAAUAGGCAUUAAAAGCUAAUAGGAUGUUAACUUUGUAGUUUUGCUAAUUGUACUAUGUUUAUGCAAGAUUUAACAUUUGGGAAAGCUGUAUGAAUGUUAUAUGAGAAUAAUUUGUACUAUAUUUUCAAUUCUCUGUAAAUCUGAAAUUUUUUAUUUAAAUAUCAACAAGAAAAUAUCAAAAUAUAUUUUAAUAAAAUGUAAGUGC
rnacentral:lncRNA from 1 species